AACCCUGAUGGAAGACCGAAACAGUUCUGACGUGCAAAUCGAUUGUCAGAAUUGAGUAUAGGGGCGAAAGACCAAUCGAACCAUCUAGUAGCUGGUUCCCUCCGAAGUUUCCCUCAGGAUAGCUGGUGCAUUUAAAUAUUAUAUAAAAUAAUCUUAUCUGGUAAAGCGAAUGAUUAGAGGCCUUAGGGUCGAAACGACCUUAACCUAUUCUCAAACUUUAAAUGGGUAAGAACCUCACCUUACUUGAUAUGAAGGUUGUGGUUAUGAUAUAAUGUGCCCAGUGGGCCACUUUUGGUAAGCAGAACUGGCGCUGUGGGAUGAACCAAACGUAAUGUUACGGUGCCCAAAUUAACAACUCAUGCAGAUACCAUGAAAGGCGUUGGUUGCUUAAAACAGCAGGACGGUGGACAUGGAAGUCGUAAUCCGCUAAGGAGUGUGUAACAACU
rnacentral:rRNA from 1 species